rnacentral:rRNA from 1 species
GGGGAAACCCUUCAACAAUCAACAAAGGAAAUUGAAACAUCUUACGACCUUUGUUCCAAGAAAUCAACCGAGAUUCCGAUAGUAGUGGCGAAUGAACUCGGAGAAUGCCUCUUCUUCAGACUAUGUGCAAGAGAUCUAAUGAGAUGAAAUACUCGACCAAAGAAGGUAAAAGUCCUGUCUGAUCCCUUGCGUCAGAAGAGAAAAGUACAUGGUAUUAAAGUAUCAUGGAAAACUGGGGGCCCACCCUCAAAGGCAUAAAGGACAUUUUUCACCGAUAGCGAACAAGUACCGUGAGGGAAAUGAUAUGAACCUUCCUGAAAAGGAAGACGAGAGAUCUGAAAUUCAGUGCUUCCAGGCGAUUAGAGCCCUUGAACAAGGGUGAUAGUGUACCUUUUGCAUAAUGGGUCAGCGAGAUAUCGAAGAAAGCAAAAGCUUAAGUCGACAGAUGGAGGCGUACAGAUAUGGAACAAAGUUUUCUUCGGUAGACCCGAAACCGAGCGAUCUUUCCAUGAGCAAGUUGAAACGUACGCUAGCGCGUAUCGGAGGACUGAACUGAUUGGUGUUGCAAAACUAUCAGAUGACUUGUGGAAAGGGGUGAAAGGCUAAUCAAGCUCGGCGAUAGCUGGUUUUCUGCGAAAGCUGUGCAAGCAGCGUGGAUUCCCCUCCUCUUUUUGGUUGUAGAGCACGUAUGGGAAGCGGGCGGCCCAAAGCUGUACUUCUUCUCGUGAAUCUCCGAAGUCCAAAUCAAGAGAAAGAAUCUACACAGACACUUCAUGCGAAGAUGAGGUGUCAAGAGGGAAACAGCCCUCAUCGUAUGUUAAGGUCCCAAAAUGAGUGUAUAGUUGAAGGAAGAAGAAAAGCAAAAACAUUCAGGAGAUGGGCUUGGAGGCAGCCAUUCUUUGAAGAAAGCGUAAUAGCUCACUGGAUAAGCUUUCUUCGCCGCAAAUGUCCGGGAAUCAACACUCUACCGAAGCAACGAACUUGAACUCUUCAUCAAGAAGUGAAUCAAGUGGUAGCAGAACGUUCUGUAUGGGGAAGAAGCCAAUUCGGGAGAAUUCGUGGACCUAUCAGAAGUGAGAAUGCUGACAUGAGUAGCGUGAAGAGAUAUGAGAUGUAUCUCCACCAAAGUCCAAGGGUUUCAAAGCCAUGUAAUUCAGCUUUGAGUGACUCGGUCCCUAAGACAGACAUUGAAAGAUGAGAGUCGAUGGGGAA